rnacentral:misc_RNA from 1 species
CCCCUCAUUCGAUCCAGAUACCUAGUUCCGGCAUUUCCUCGGCUAUAAUUGCUUGCAAAUGAAUGCUUUAACCCAUGUCCUGAUUCAGUACUCUGGCCUUUCACAUUGUCUGUCCCGGAUUUUUGAUGUUCAUGACGGUCAAUUUCAUUCUUCUUCUCGUAGUCCCGCUUCCGUUCACUUUCCUUACCUGCUUUCUUUUCCAACUCUUCAGUAUCAGAAUUACUCUUACUCGAUCCCUUGUCUUUUUCUCUCCUUCUUUCCUGACGCCUCUUCUCUGCUUCCUUCUUACUAUCUUUAUCCCUGGUAGGCUGUGAAGAUUUGGUUCGAUCUUUUUCAGCCUCCAUUUUCUCAUCCCUAAGCCUCCUCCGUUCCUCUACCAAUCUUGCAACCUCCUCCCUUUGCUUUCUUUCUUCCUCCUCCAAAAGCUCCUUCUCUAACCUAGCCUGUCUUUUCUCUUCAGCUUUUCUGCGUGCUUUUUCUCCUUUAGUCUCACUCUCAUGAUAGUUUGACCCAUUUUCACCCCUUUUAGUCAACAUGCCCCUAUGAUCUGCAUCAGAAGAAGAAUCCUCCUUAGAUGAACUAAUUCUAAAAAUCUUUCUCCAAAUCCACCUAAUGCUCAAGAAAAAAGAAGUCAAGAGCUGGCAUGCAAACACUACAACACCUGAAUAAGAUUUCUCAGCCAA